GGAGCGCGGGUGAUCUUUCUCACUUAAGUUUGGAGGCAGCGUAACUUAUAGGAGAGGAUGUGAUGUCAUCAGGACCCUCUUCUGUGAAGAGUCCGUGUUCAGCCUCUGAGGUGGAAUAGCGUGAGAAAAGAUUUCUGCAGCACUUCAGUUGUGACCCAAAUCUUGGGCUUGUUUAUUGUUGCAGCAUUGUUUUUAAUGGUGCUUCUGGGAUUUUGCUGUGAUGUCUUCCGUUGAGAUUCAGACAGACAGCAUUCCUUCCUGAAGUCAGAUCAGUUGCUGCAGACUGCUGUCUCUCAGCCAUUUGGGCCACUCUCAUCAUGUCCAGAUCUGCAGAAUACCAAGUCAAGUCCUGUGUUGUGGACAUGGACUGCAAGUUGUAUUCCUUGGCAGAUAUUUUAUUUUAUGUAGUAUUUACUUCUUUUUGCAGAUUAAAGAAGACCUGGGAAUGUUUUACAGCAUCUCUCCACCUGCACUUUUCAUCUCUGAGCCCAUGCAUUGCUGAUACACAUCUGAGUACUUCAGCUCUGUUGUUCUCUGCAAUUGUUCAUUGUUAUUUCUCUGCAGAAGCCUCUGUGUGCAAGGCUGGAGGGACUUCCGCCAUGCCAAAAACCCUCUCCAUACAUACUUCAACAUUGAGAGGCCAGCCUGCCAUCUCUGUGUGACCACACACACUGGUAAGGGUUUUGACUUCCUGUGGGUUAGCACAUGCAGUCUCAACAGCUUUGCUCGGCUCCUAUUUGAUUCUUUUUUUUGGUAUUUUCUGGCUUUCAUGCUUUUUCUUCUUUUCACUGUGGGAGGAGUUGUUCCAUUACUCCUUUGGAAAGCAUACCCCUGUUCCUAGCUGUGAGAAACCGGGCACUACUGAGUGAUGAAACUGCUGUUUUAUGGGAAAAUGAGCCGGACAGUGAAAAAUGCAACAAGACAGUGAGUUGGGUCAAGCAGCUUCACCACAGCAGCAAGUGUAGCUAGGUUGUGAGAUAAAAUAAGGAAUUCCUUUGACUUCAGCCUGCUUUCAUAUGGCACUUAGUUCUCUAAUCCAGGCAUGCCCAACCCGCAGGCCUCACUGCCCGGCCCAGCCCGUCCUGCAGCCGCCUCCUGCCCCAUGCCAUCAUGGCAGUGGCUCUUCCCGCUGAGUGGCCCGGCCCUCUGUGUUCACCCAUCACUGACACAGCCACACAGCGGUGUGUGAUUGGCGCUACAUAAGCUCAACCAGGACACGCGCAGGGCACAGUGCUGCUCUAUCUCCACCUCUGGCACCCACCACACACUCAGUCAAAUCAAAACCCAUGUGUGCCACUGGGUGACUGAGAUGCAGUAAUUACCCAUAGUAACAUUUCAGCCUUCCUAAUGUUUUCUCAAGACAUAACAGAGCUCCCAAAAGAAGCAAAAUUGUGGUUCAAGGAGAAGCGUUUAAAGAAAAAUGGACAGAUGGGUACUUUUUUGUUGAGGUAAAACUGAGUUACUGCUGUUGAGUUACACCUCGGACGGACUCAGCUAUAAAGGCCAGUGAUGUGGUGGCAAGUCUGAUGGCAGAAGCAGCAAAACCAUCUGCUGGUGGUGAGCUUAUUGAGCAGUGCAGUGAGGACAGCAGUGAGGACAGCACCAGAGAUGUAAUUGGCCCUGUUUGAAAAGCGGAUUUCUCUAAAAUCAGUUGGCAUCACUCAACUAUUGGCAGGUGGACUGAAGAAAUGGACAAAUCUGUGGCAAGAAAGUUGCAGAGUAAAGCUGUUAAUUUCAGGAGUUGUCCUUUGGUGACAGAUGAAAUUAGUGAUGCUACAGAUACAACUCGCUCAACCUGCUGUUUUCAUGGAAGGUACUGAUAAGGGAUAUGAUGUCACAGAAUCGCAGAAUUGUAGGGGUUGNCCUAUGCUUCAGUUUGUGGCCAUUUCUCCUUGUCCUGUUGCCACGCACCGCUGAAAAGAGUCUGGCCUCGUCCUUUUGUCUCCCAUGCCAUAGAUAUUUAUAGACCUGGAUCAGAUCCCACAGGAUUGAUAUGACAUAAAACCAGGGACUUGACACGGUAGAAUUGUGUAAGAAUUGUAACCAUCCAAUUCUCCUCACAUCUUCCCUUACUCAGCUUAUCCUGAAACUAAUGCAUGUCGUUCUACACAAAAGAUUGUUCCUGUCCAUUGUGAACCCUAUACCUACUCUCCCCCACCUUUUUUUUUUUCUCCCAAGAUACUCUUCACAGUGGAAUAAGUUCACAGAUUUCUGCUACACACAAUGUCUUGAGCUUCUUUUGCCUUACUGGCUUUCUAGACCAACUUGCCAGCUUUUAGGGUUAGAAAAUAGUUGGAUCAUGGUAGCUUGCUGACAGUGCCAGGUAUUGCUACUGACUCUGUUUAGAAUUCAAAAGCAAAACUAGGAAUUAACAUUGUGUUAAGGAGCAGAGAAAUCUUUAGAAACCAUAGUAUGGCUUGGGUUGAAAGGGACCACAAGGAUCGAGUUCCAACCCUCCUGCCCACGGGCAGGGUUGCUAGCUGCUAGAUCAAGUACUANUUUUGAUGUGGACAAAGCAGUGAAAAUGGCAUUAAAGUGAUUUUAUUUAACCUUUGUUGUCACAUCUGGUAGAGAUACUGAUGGUGCCCAGGCAGUGGUUGGUAAAAAAGAGAAGCUUAUAGAAUUCAUAGAAGAAAAUGGAAUUGCUGCCAGGAACUCAGGUUUGAUGAAACAUCUCUGCAUGGUACAUCAGGGAAAUAUAUGCAGAAAAGCUUUAAAAAUGGGUACUGUCAUGUCAAUUGUCAUCAAGUGAGUGAAUUUCACGAAGCCCAAGGAAUUGAACCAUCACCAAUUCCAGGCAUUCCUAAAAGUAUGGAUGCUGACAAUGGAGACAUCAUUUACUUUUUAAAGUAAGGUGUGUAAGUCAUGGUAAAAUGCUAACCAGUUUUAGGAUUUGCAAAAUGAAAUGAAAUCAUUUCUGGAAUCAAAAUGAACAUUUGUGUCAGAACGUGAGGCUGAAAAUGUGUCACAGAUUUAAUGCAUCUGGUGGAUAUGGCCUCUCAUUUAAGUAAGUAAACAUGUCUUCAAGGUGUAAACCAACUUACCUGUGCUGUGUUUCAAGCCAUAGCAGCGUUCAAAAUGAAUCAAAUUAUGGGUGGUCCAAGUUAUGGCAAAUGAUUUUAUGCAUUUUGACAUGUCAAGAGAGGUGAAGUUUCAGCUCUGCAGGCCCUCCCUGCCUUUAAAUACAGAAGCAAAAUGGGUCAGCGUAUAUGGAGUUUGUAGAGAUAAUGAUCUGUAUUCAGUUUAUUUAUGUCAAAGAAUCUAGCAAGGGGACGUGCAAAAAGGAAGGGACAAAAUCCUGCAGGGAAUGUACAGGUUGGCAAAUUGAGGAAUGUGGCCCAGCAGGAGGUGAGUUAAGAAUUAAUUUUCUCAAUGCCUGCUGAGGAGAUUUCAGGUGGAAAAGGGAGCAGAGAAAUCCUAUCAUGGACCCUGGUCAGAUGUGAAGUUAUUUCAGCACAGAUUGGAGUGGCCGUUUCAAUGGGUGCUUUUCUUCUUUUGAAACACUACUGGGGAAGAUGGUGACAUGUUCAGUCUCCAUGCCCUCAUGGAAAUAGUGAAACCUUACAACUCAGAGAAAGAGACAAAAAUUACACCCAUUUAAUGGAGAAGAUACUGCAAAACAGAGAGAGGUUGGGGCAUCAGAGCUGAGUUUUGGAUAUGAUUGGUUUAUUGUUCAUCUCAUGGAAGGCUCAGCUGUCCAGCACAGCGGUGCCNCGGCAGUGAGGAGCAGGAGGCAGGUGCCAGCCACUCGAACCCAGAGGUAAACAUCACAGAUGGAAUUCGGCGUGUUCUCAUUACUUGUUCCUGCAGGUAGAAAGGCAAGAGAGGAAAGGAGAGAGGAUCCAGCUGCAGACAUCUCCCUUCUUAUUGAAAUGCCUGUAGUUCAAUGCAGACUUUAAUUUGGUCUCUUACGACCAAAGCAGCACUGCUGGAAGAGCCCCUGCCUCCCCACAGCUGGGUUACCUGUGUCCAGGCCCUGUCGUGAGUUGUCCUUCGUGCUGACCUGGCUGCUCUGGGUGGUGGCAGUGGGUNUUAAUUCAUGCUGUUCCAAGCAAUUCAGCAUUGCUGGCAGAGCCCCUGCCUCCCCAUAGCUGGGUUACCUGCAUGUGCGCUCUGUUGUGAGUUGUCCUUCCUGGUGACCUGGGUGCUCUGGGUGGUGGCUGCGGGUGUGGUGGGUGCUGCUGUUGUUGCGACUGGAUAGAAGAAAUAAGUGAAUAUGGAGAGGUACAACAGAAGAGGUUCCUCCAAUCUGCUCCAGGACACGGCCAUCAGAGGAGAAACUAUUAUAGGGUCUGCUUUGAACAGUGAUGCUUUUACAUGCUGCCAAUCCCUGGAAACAGAAGGAUUUGGGCUCCUAAUUUCUUAUCAGCCCCCUUAGGAUGUGUGAGCUCUUUGUUAUCUGUGUUAUAAAACAUGUCCUGAGAGUCAUGCGGAUUUUUGAGUUUCUUUUUGAGGUGCUGUAAGCAUAUGGGAGCUGUAGGGACUUAGAGGAAGGAUGU
ensembl:lncRNA